rnacentral:lncRNA from 1 species
GUUGAGAACCGUUACUUGACUGGUACCUCCAGCCCACCAGCAGGCAAUGAUGGCAUCAGACUAGAGGAUCACCAGUAAAUCAUUGUAAACAAGCGUGGAAAGAGAGAAAGUCCACUUUAAGCGAUGGAAAAUCAGCCCCAAUUCUGAAGGAACAACCAUGAACAGAUGAUUUAAGGAGAAUCAAUUCUUUGCUCUUUGCAGAAGGAGCCAACAGAGUGAGAUGAAGGGGACAACUUCAGAUACUCAGGCAGAAGCAUAAGUCCCCACCUGCUGACCUGCUGCCUGCUAUCUUAACACGAAUUCUUCAUCUGAAUGGAUGAGCUUUUCACAGAGCUGAAUGCACACCUGGCCCAAGAGCUGGAGAAGCUAAAGGCGGGACCAGGGAAAGGUGGAGCGGUUGCAGACUCAGCUGCUGGCCCACAUCAACAAGAUCCUUCCACCCCACUUGCUGAUACAGCUUCAACAAAGAAGGGUGUUCACCAACUGACUACAAGAAUCAUUGCUAACCAGGGAUGACUCAUUCUCACAUCCAUCCUAAAUAGACUUCCUUGGAUACAAAAAAUCCAGAGUUUGCCGUAUCUCCAUGGACACUGUCAUUUAGACAGGACACUUACUUCUUGGGAAACUCACUUCCAUUUUCCUAAUAAGGUUCCCUUUGAAGACUAAGAAUUUCUCCAAGACAAAAUUCAUGUAAGCCAAAAUACCAGACAUCAGGCCUGUAAUUGUGGUCACCCUGGCCACAGCCAAGUUGUCACCUUCACUCACGAUCAUCUUUCUGCCCUCUGCUACUUGUAGAAUAAUGAUCAUAAAGUAUUGUUGUCUGAAGCCCCUUUAGAAAAGUUGAUUUACAGCAGCCCAUGAGAGAGGUAGAUUAGAGAUGACCAAUGUCCUGAGAACACCAAGAAGCACUCAUCUUUGAUUCUCAGGGCUUGACAUUUCAGAAACAAAUCCAGACACAUUAUAAUAAUGACCCUGGUCCAUUGUGAGCCCAUUAGAAAACACUCACAAAUAAGUAUUCAAAAUUUUCCAGUUAUUUUGACUCCUAAAAAUGUCUUCCAAGAUAUAUCAAAGUUUCCGUAAUUUUGCAAUCAACUUGGUUUUUAUUUAAACCAAGUAGCAACUCUCUCUGUAGCAACCCUGACUUUUCUUGUUAUUAAAUCACUCUAUAAUUAAAUAUAAAGUUAUUGGUGACAUUCACAGAAAAUCCUAGAGAGUAUGGAGUUCUUGCUACAGAAGAUAUACUUUAUUGAAAUGUAAAAGAAGUCAGUUAAAUUUAUAAUUUCAACUUGCCCAAACAUUUAGCUCAAAAGUAGUGAUCUUAGUUUUGACAUUUCUUGCAUUGGACUCAAGGCUUCUAAUAGAUUACAAGUUCCUUUUAUUGAUUCAACACAUUAUUAUUGAGUAACCUUUGUUCUAGACACU